rnacentral:rRNA from 1 species
GACGAACGCUGGCGGCGUGCUUAACACAUGCAAGUCGAACGGAAAGGCCCUGCUUUUGUGGGGUGCUCGAGUGGCGAACGGGUGAGUAACACGUGAGUAACCUGCCCUGGACUUUGGGAUAACUUCAGGAAACUGGGGCUAAUACCGGAUAGGAGCUCCUGCGGCAUGGGGGGGGUGGGAAAGUUUCGGCGGUUGGGGAUGGACUCGCGGCUUAUCAGCUUGUUGGUGGGGUAGUGGCUUACCAAGGCUUUGACGGGUAGCCGGCCUGAGAGGGUGACCGGCCACAUUGGGACUGAGAUACGGCCCAGACUCCUACGGGAGGCAGCAGUGGGGAAUAUUGCACAAUGGGCGGAAGCCUGAUGCAGCAACGCCGCGUGCGGGAUGACGGCCUUCGGGUUGUAAACCGCUUUCGCCUGUGACGAAGCGUGAGUGACGGUAAUGGGUAAAGAAGCACCGGCUAACUACGUG